GACUGAUGCCAAGUGAGAGGUUGAACCUGACAUAUACCCCCAUCAACUGCAAUUAAGGAACUACAAGACAGGUUACUGAUGCCCGGUGAGAAGGUGAGCCUGACAUAUAACCCCGUCAGCUGCAAUAAAGGAACCACGAGACAGGUGACUGAUGCCAAGUGAGAAGGUAUACCUGACACGUACCCGCGUCAGCUGCAAUAAAGGAACCACGA